CAUGAUUCGACGUAUCCCUGCUAUCACACUUUGAGGGAGCUUACACACUUGUGAUGGUCCAACUUAGAGAGAAAUCGACAGUAUUUGCCACCGGCAACGAAAGGGCGCUGCUUGAAGUUGCACAAUUUCCCGGCCAAGACAUGCAGCAUCCAUAGUCCGGAGGAUAGGCGCGGCGAGUCAUCGAAAACAUCUCACUUAAUUUGGAUUCGAAUCCCACCAAUCAUACAAAAAAAAAAAAAGACAAGCAAAUAAGUUCGUAAACAACACUGAGCUGACAUCCAACGAACAAAAAAA